AGAACGAACGCUGGCGGCAUGCCUAACACAUGCAAGUCGAACGCUCUUGGGAUUUCGGUCUCAAGGGAGUGGCGCACGGGUGAGUAGCGCGUGGGAACCUGCCCUGUUGUGGGGGAUAACCGAGGGAAACUUCGGCUAAUACCGCAUAAGCCGGCUGUCUUGCGAAAGAUGGCCGGGAAAGAUUUAUCGCGACAGGAGGGGCCCGCGUCGGAUUAGGUAGUUGGUGGGGUAACGGCCCACCAAGCCUGUGAUCCGUAGCUGGUCUGAGAGGAUGAUCAGCCACACUGGGACUGAGACACGGCCCAGACUCCUACGGGAGGCAGCAGUGGGGAAUAUUGGACAAUGGGCGCAAGCCUGAUCCAGCAAUGCCGCGUGAGUGAUGAAGGCCUUAGGGUUGUAAAGCUCUUUCGCCCGCGACGAUGAUGACGGUAGCGGGAGAAGAAGCCCGGCUAACUUCGUGCCAGCAGCCGC
rnacentral:rRNA from 1 species